rnacentral:rRNA from 1 species
AACGAACGCUGGCGGCAGGCCUAACACAUGCAAGUCGAACGCCCUGGCAACAGGGAGUGGCAGACGGGUGAGUAACGCGUGGGAACGUGCCCUUCGGUUCGGAAUAACUCAGGGAAACUUGAGCUAAUACCGAAUACGUGCGAGAGCAGAAAGAUUUAUCGCCGAAGGAUCGACCCGCGUCCGAUUAGCUAGUUGGUGAGGUAAUGGCUCACCAAGGCGACGAUCGGUAGCUGGUCUGAGAGGAUGAUCAGCCACACUGGGACUGAGACACGGCCCAGACUCCUACGGGAGGCAGCAGUGGGGAAUAUUGGACAAUGGGCGCAAGCCUGAUCCAGCCAUGCCGCGUGAGUGAUGAAGGCCCUAGGGUUGUAAAGCUCUUUCGCCAGGGACGAUAAUGACGGUACCUGGAUAAGAAGCCCCGGCUAACUUCGUGCAGCCGCCGCAGUAA